rnacentral:lncRNA from 1 species
UUUAAGUUUUUGAUAAGAACUUCAUCAUUUUAGCAGUUUCAGAACAGUAUCUACUUGAGCUGACCAUAACUUCAAGAUUUAUGUGUGAAUGUGAUUCAGAACAAUAACAUUUUAUAAUGGAUCCUUUAAGAAAUAAUUAUAGUAAAUUCAUAAGUUUUUAAUGACACAGUGAUAUUAUAGCUUUAACACAAUAGCAAACUGCUGCAGCAGCUGAUAUAUGAACUGAAUAUUUCAAACUUUGAUUGAAUAGGAAUAACAAAAGAAUUUUUAUUUUACCACGAGAAAUGAAAGUA